AUGGAGGCCCCAGGACUAGAGGACGCCAUGCACCAUGCAGUUUCGCCUCCGUCUGUGGGACCACUUCUUCGUCUGAAACAGAAGAAAAGCUUUGGGGUUUCUGGAAUGUGGAUUUACAUAGGCCCUGGAACACGUGAACACUCAGUUGACUUCCAACACAGAAAGGCCAAGGGAAGCCUUAGGCACCUUCUCACUCCACACAAACCUCCAAGGAGUUUGAAGUCCUCAGGUCCACCUGCAUCCCCUCUCUACCCUGUAUCGCUAACUCACAUCAGCGUCCUUGCCCUGGAAGAUAGCCAUUUAUUUAUCCGUCUUAUUCGGCCUACAGCCAAAAGAGCAAAUGCUUCCAAUAGAAGAGCUUCAGGAACAAACUGGUACCGUCAAGGGGUAGACUUGGGGGACAGAGAUGCAGCAGAGAGACCAUUCGCUUUCCUGGUCAGCAGAGAGGCAAAACAAAGGAUGAGUCAGCACGAGACAGUGGUUCCAGUACAACUUCUUAGGACAUCGGCAAGUCCCUUUCUUGUCCUCUUGCUUGGGGUCAGUCUCUCUUUUGUCUGUGGAAGCCUUUGUAGUCACCCCAAAUCGAGCUUGUAUUGUAUUGCACAAUUGCUUAUUAGUUCCAUGUUUCUGGCCAUCUCAGCUUCCACACAAUGA
rnacentral:lncRNA from 1 species